CUGAAGGUCUGAGGUGAUCAGUCAUUCCCUAAGCUCCACUCUGAAUGCAGCCACACACUGAAGCAAGUCCAAAAAUGAAGAAAGAGACACAGGGCAACACAAUGCAUAAAAGGACAGAGGAAGGACGAGGCAGAGGGAGCAGGAUGAGAUUAAAAGGAAUAUGUUCCAUGAGGCUGUGGAGAACCCCAGAGAAACAUAUACAGAAAAGAAGCAUCAGGACAGGUGCUUCCUGACCUUGACUUGGCUGAGAGUCUGAUGAAGUCUCCAAGAUUUGGGGGUGAGCAUAAGGAAGAGAGCUGGAGCCUCGCUGAAGAAAUGUCAAAUACACUGCUUAAAAAGAAAAAUCAAUUUCAAUUAUAUCACACAACUUCUGGAACUGGUGCUGUCUGCUGAGGAGAAAAUAAUGAUAAUAGUAAAAAGAUAUUUAUGAAAACUUUAAUGGUAU
rnacentral:lncRNA from 1 species